CCUACGGGCGGCAGCAGUGGGGAAUAUUGGACAUUGGGGGGAACCCUGAUCCAGCCAUGCCGCGUGUGUGAAGAAGGCCCUCGGGUUGUAAAGCACUUUCAGUGAGGAAGAACGCCUGGUGGUUAAUACCCAUCAGGAAAGACAUCACUCACAGAAGAAGCACCGGCUAACUCCGUGCCAGCAGCCGCGGUAAUACGGAGGGUGCGAGCGUUAAUCGGAAUUACUGGGCGUAAAGCGCGCGUAGGUGGCUUGAUAAGCCGGUUGUGAAAGCCCCGGGCUCAACCUGGGAACGGCAUCCGGAACUGUCAAGCUAGAGUGCAGGAGAGGAAGGUAGAAUUCCCGGUGUAGCGGUGAAAUGCGUAGAGAUCGGGAGGAAUACCAGUGGCGAAGGCGGCCUUCUGGACUGACACUGACACUGAGGUGCGAAAGCGUGGGUAGCAAACAGGAUUAGAUACCCUGGUAGUC
rnacentral:rRNA from 1 species